AAAAGAAACCAACAGGGAUUGCCCCAGUAACGGCGAGUGAAGCGGCAACAGCUCAAAUUUGAAAUCUGGCCCCCAGGGCCCGAGUUGUAAUUUGCAGAGGAUGCUUUUGGCGCGGUGCCUUCCGAGUUCCCUGGAACGGGACGCCAUAGAGGGUGAGAGCCCCGUCUGGUCGGACGCCUAGCCUGUGUAAAGCUCCUUCGACGAGUCGAGUAGUUUGGGAAUGCUGCUCUAAAUGGGAGGUAUAUGUCUUCUAAAGCUAAAUACCGGCCAGAGACCGAUAGCGCACAAGUAGAGUGAUCGAAAGAUGAAAAGCACUUUGAAAAGAGGGUUAAAUAGUACGUGAAAUUGUUGAAAGGGAAGCGCUUGUGACCAGACUUGGGCCCGGUGGAUCAUCCAGCGUUCUCGCUGGUGCACUCCGCCGGGUUCAGGCCAGCAUCAGUUCGCCGCGGGGGAAAAAGGCUUCGGGAACGUGGCUCCUACGGGAGUGUUAUAGCCCGUUGCAUAAUACCCUGGGGCGGACUGAGGUUCGCGCUCCGCAAGGAUGCUGGCGUAAUGGUCAUCAGCGC
rnacentral:rRNA from 1 species